GCAGCGGUAGUUCAGUGGUAGAAUUCUCACCUUCCGUGCAGGAAACCUGGGUUCAAUUCCCUGCCAAUAUA
rnacentral:tRNA from 1 species